GGCCUAAUGGUCUAGUAGUAUGAUACGCGCUUCGGGUACAAUCCCUCACGGUAGCCGUGAAUGCGCGGGGUCCCGGGUUCAAUUCCCGGUUAGGCCC